GACGAACGCUGGCGGCGUGCUUAACACAUGCAAGUCGAACGGAAAGGCCCUGCUUUUGUGGGGUGCUCGAGUGGCGAACGGGUGAGUAACACGUGAGUAACCUGCCCUUGACUUUGGGAUAACUUCAGGAAACUGGGGCUAAUACCGGAUAGGAGCUCCUGCUGCAUGGUGGGGGUUGGAAAGUUUCGGCGGUUGGGGAUGGACUCGCGGCUUAUCAGCUUGUUGGUGGGGUAGUGGCUUACCAAGGCUUUGACGGGUAGCCGGCCUGGGAGGGUGACCGGCAAAAUGGGACUGAGGAACGGGCCCGGAUCCCUAGGGAGGGAAGAGGUGGGAAAUAUUCCCCAUGGGGGGAAGCCUUAAGCAGGAACGCCGGGGGCGGGAAGAAGGGCUUUGGGGUGGUAACCCGCUUCCGCUGGGACGAAGGCGGAGGGGCGGUUAAUGGUAAAGAAGGCACGGCCUACUUAGUG
rnacentral:rRNA from 1 species